rnacentral:rRNA from 1 species
GACGAACGCUGGCGGCGUGCCUAAUACAUGCAAGUAGAACGAGUUGCGAACGGGUGAGUAAUGCUUGGGAAUCUAGCUUAUGGAGGGGGAUAACUACGGGAAACUGUAGCUAAUACCGCGUACCAUAGGAUGAGCCCAAGUGGGAUUAGGUAGUUGGUGAGGUAAAGGCUCACCAAGCCGACGAUCUCUAGCUGGUCUGAGAGGAUGACCAGCGACAUUGGGACUGGGAUACGGCCCAGACUCCUACGGGAGGCAGCAGUGGGGGAUAUUGCACAAUGGGCGAAAGCCUGAUGCAGCGACGCCGCGUGGGGGAUGAAGGCUUUCGGGUUGUAAACCUCUUUCGCUAUCGAACGGGUAGGUGGAGAAGAAGCGCCGGCUAACUACGUGCCAGCAGCCGCGGUAAUAC